rnacentral:lncRNA from 13 species
GGUUUCAGAAACUGCGGUCAUUUCAUGGUGCAAGAAGGCAGACUGUGUUUUGUUACAAGCAGCAGAAAGCUCCGGGAUCCGGCCUAGGAGGGAGCUCGGCCAAAACAUUGGGUGGGGGGGGGUAAUCCGUUUGAUCCAACUUCAAAUCCCACCACUGACUCCUUUGAACAAGGGCUGUCAAAUUAAGCCCUCUCCCAGCAAGCUGUGUGAAAUUGGAGACUCCACUUACCUUCUGCCUCUUAAAAUUAGGCAAGCCCUCCACGCAGCAAGAGAGUAAGUGGCAAGCGUGCAGACAACUCUUUCUGAGCUGGAUGAUUUAGUGAAGCAGCUGUGGGGGAUACAGGAGGGGGGAUUUAAAAGAAGGACCCAGUGGACUGAGGAGGACUAUUCACCCCCUAUUUGUGAUGCUGGUUAUUACUUUCUUGCCUAUGGUGUUAACGGGACUGAGAACCUCAGCCCAUUUUGUGGUCAUAAACCAGAAACUUGGAGAAAGUACCCAGUAUGUUUGCAGGUGGCACUCCUUGUAAAAGACACUUGGUAGCCCAUAGUCCGAAAGGCAGGACAAAGCAAAUCAUGUAGUUUCACUCAUGACUGUCAUUGAAGGGUUUACUGAGUCCCACAUCACCCAGGGUCCACUGAGAUGUCCCUGCCCUUCAGCUUUAAGGAAGAUUACUUCAAUUCUACUCAUGCUUAUGCCCUGCCCUGUAAAGAUCCAAAGUCCUCCUCGGGUUGUCUGUGAAUUCCUUAAGAGCCCUCAUUCAAUGAGAUCCCCUGAGACUGAAGUUCUUAGCCCAUGUCCUCCUAUUCACCAAACUGCUGACUUCAUGGAUGAGUACAUCCUCUCCUCUUCUCCUACCCUGAGUUCAUCCCCUCAGAUGCCAUAA